CUCGAACAUUCCACUCCAUUUCAAAGCAGACCAAAAUCCAUCUUCCUUACUGUUCAUGAAUCAUGAACCCUAAAUCCAUAAAAAAAUCCCCAAUUCUCUUUCAAUUACAAAUCACAACGAAUAGAAAAUCCUCCCGCCGGAGCUCUUAGUAUCCAUCACAGAACGCCUUGAAAUCCGGGAUGAAAUCCUGGAUUUCCGGCGAGUCUUUGAAAAAUGGCGAUCAUCUACCUCUUCAUCAUCUCUCUCCUCGCCGGAAAUGCAGCGAUAUGAUGUGGAAAUGCGGAAUUCAAUCUCGAAAAUGAUGGGAAUUUCACCGGCUCUCUUGGUAUCCAUCGCGUACCGCCUUAUGAAGUCCUCGACUUCCGACGAGCUUGUAAAAAUGACGAUCAUCAGCCACCAUGGUUAUGCACCGUUCCGAAUCAAUCCCCGGUGAUUCGAUCAAUUCAUUACUCGAAAUGUUAUCGAGGGGAUAUGAGGGAUGUCGGAGACGAUCUUGGGAUUGCUGUAUCUCAAUUUGAAGGCGGUGAUUGUCAACUUUGGUAAAAUUAUUCUCAACUCUGUGCUUUGAAAUAUAUUUUCCUUUUACUAGUAGUUGAUUACAGUGGUUCAAGUUAAUUUACUAUUGUUACACACUUUUGUUAAUGGUACAUUUAUAAUAAACUUGACAAUUUCUAUGUAAUGCAUCAAUAAUAACUUUAACAGCAUGAAAUAAAUGAAAGCAACUUCAUGAUUUGUUUGGGAUAAUUAAAUCACUUUGAACAUUAAACAACAUAACUGGUUUAUGCACCUUAGGGAUACCCUCACAUUCAGUAUCGCUGAACUCUUCUUCCUGUUAUCAAUACCAACAAAACAUUGUCUUAUUGAUUGAGAAACUCGUUCGAAAAACUCUGCAUAAUCAUGAGAAUAAGUCCCUUUUCUCUUUUACCUUUAACAGUUAAAUGAAAAAAGUGAUAUUUAAUCUCAAGACUCUGCUGAUUUCUUUUUGAACGAGGCUUUUAGGCGUUUAUACACUGUUUUUGAUGUGGUAUUGACAGCGGGUUUCAGAGGAUAUUCAAAGUGGUAGUGUUCUUGAUGUGCAUAAACUAGUUAUGCUGUUUGGCCAAACCGCAGAAAUACUCCAAACUAAUAUUUAGUCCUAUUAAGACCAAAUGAACUUUUGCUUCUUAUCUAUUUCAUGUAAUUAAAUUAAUAAUUGAUGCAUUGUGCAGAAAAUUGUCAUUUAAGUUCUUAUGAAUGCUUAGGAUUGCCAUUUUAAUGUUUCAUAACUAAUUUGUCCUUGAUUGUUAAUCUCGUGAGAGGCUAUUUCCUCUGUUCAAAACAAAGUGAUACCCAAUGUUCUUUGUCACGAAUUAAUUUAUGUUUCACAAACAAUAUUAGGGAUAAGUAGAUGACCGUCAUACAUUUCUAGGCUUCCACUAUUAAUACACAAGAAAAAAGGUUAAGACUCUAUCAUACUUUUAAAGUAAAAUAUACUUAGGGUUUAGGGUCUUAACAUAAUGUUCAAUGUUAAAGAUUAUAAGCCUAAUAUACUGGUACUUUGAUGAUAUUUUCGAGGGGCUGUCGGUGAGAUGAUGACGAUCUUAUGAUUGCUGUUUUCCAAUUUGAAGAUGGUGAAUGUGGAUCUAUAACAUUAUAUUUUGUUAUGGCCGCCCCCAGCUCUCCGCUGACAAAGUUUGUCUAAAAUGGGGCUGUCGGUGAGAUGAUGACGAUCUUAUGAUUGCUGUUUUUCGACUUGAAGAUGAUGAAUGUGGAUUUAUGACAUUGUAUUCAGGCUAUUGUAUUGUGUUAUGGCCAACCCCUGCUCUCUGCUGACAAAUGUUUGUCUAAAACAGUUUUCUUGGGUAUCCUGCAAAGUAAUCACACUGAUACUGGAGUUAAUGAAUGGGGGAUUGAUGAAAAUAUUGAGAAGGCCUUAGUUGAUAAAUGUCAGAAAAGAUUCAGUGGACAAGGUCUUGAUUUAGGCAAGAAGCAAUCAAUUUAGAAGUGAGAAAUUGAUGAUAAUGAGAAAGUGUAUUUAAGCCAAGGAGCAUGUAAUGCAUCGAGUAUAGGGGAAGGGCACAUUAGGAAAUGCCAUCAUAAUUCAGUUAGAGGUAGCUUGAGCAACAAGUUAUGAUAUAGAGCACCAAGGUGAUGAACUAUAGAAAGCAGUUAAAGGUUCCUUGUAAAGAGCUCAAAGUAUAUAAUCCAAUUGGAGAUGUGGUCAAUGAGCUUUGGAACUGAAAGGAAGGACAAAGGGCUACAGUGUAUGAGGUUGCAAAAUGUCUUUAUGAUUCGCCAGAAGUGAAGAUGAUUCUUUCUAUUUGAUAAGAUCCAAUCGGAGAAGAUGACUGCGGAGUUUCCAAAGUAAAUAUUCUGUUUUAAAAAGCGCCCAAAAAAAAAAUUGAAAAAUAGUGGUUGUCAAGGCUCGAACCCCGUACCGCAGCGUGGAUGAAUGAAAGAGUUAUUGAUAAUGCUAGUAACCAUUGUGACAGUGAGGCAAAGCCAUUGGCAAUUGUCAUGCAAAUUUCUAGUUAAGCACUCCUUGUAGUUCUAAACGUUAAUGAGUAAUUAAUUUUACGUUGUAUAUCAAUAUUGACUCCCCAUCAUUGUGUUGUACGUUUUUAUAUAAUGUAUGAUGAUACCUCCCCUAUUAUGUUAUA